ACAGCCGUUCGUGGGGGUGGGGUUUCUACAAAACUAUUCGUGGGGUUUCUCUAAACUCUUUGCAUCUCAUCGCCUCUCACUCUCAUUUUUUUGUAUUUUCUCAUAUCUCAAACUAAAAUCAGUAAAAUGGAAGAUGAUGACAUUGUAAUUGCGGUUUUAUACAAUGGAACAUUGGUACAAAAUGAUAGUGGUGAUUGGGAAUAUCGAAAUGGUAAAAAUGUAAUGGUUUUCGUUGGCAAGAGAUGCACAAAAUCAGAGUUAGAGGAUGAGAUUUUCAAUUUUAUUGAGAUAGAUCGAUAUGAAUAUUUGCUAAAGCUAAAAUGGAUAUAUGGAUGAUGUGCAGAAAAGUUGGAUCCUACAGAAAUACGAUGUGAUAGGGAUGUGAAAUGCUUUCUUCAAGAAGUGAGGAAUGGAGGGAUGACAAUGAUGCGGCCUCCAUUGUAUGUUGAGGUGAUUUCAAAAGUUGAACAUGUAUGUAGAAAUGUUCAUCAAACAGCAUUUGCUUCGGAUAGUGGGAGUAAUCUUCAUUCUUUU